rnacentral:rRNA from 1 species
UGAUGCAUGGCCGUCGUCAGUUCGUGGUUUGAAUUGUACCCUUAAGUGGGCUAACGAACGCAACCCUCGUUGUGUGUUACAAGUGUCACACGAGACCGCCCCCGCCAAAGCGCACGAAGUGCGCAGGCUCUAGGAAACUAGGCUUUAGGCUUUAGCAAAAUAUAAAUUGCUAGCGCCUAGUGCCUAACGCCUAAUGCCUGCGAAGUAACUUCGCGAAUUUCGGCGGGGGAGGAAGGAGAGGAUGACGCCAGGUCAGCAUGUCCCUUGAUACCCUGGGCUACACACAUAAUACAAUGGCCGUUACAACGCGCAGCGACGAGGCGACUCUGAGCUAAUCGUCCAAAAGCGGCCUAAGUUCGGAUUGGAGUCUGCAACUCGACUCCAUGAAGCUGGAAUUGCUAGUAAUCACAGGUCAGCUAAACUGUGGUGAAUACGUUCUCAAGUCUUGUACUCACCGCCCGUCAAGUCAAGGGAGCCGGGAGUACCCGAAGUAUCCGCAUAAGCGGGUCCUAAGGUAAGCUCGGUGACAGGGACUAAGUCGUAACAAGGCACGGCUAGCGGAAGCUGGUCGUGGAUUAAUUCAAUU